UAGUCACAGCUAUCUAUGAAGGAAGGGUAAGGGAAUAAUGCCGCAGAGAGAAAUCCACAACCAGUGUUGUGGAUGGCAUGGGAUGGUUUAUAUUUUCAAGUGUAUUCAAUUUCCUUUUCCCUGCUUUGUGUGUAAUUAGUUUUUGUCUCCUGUUUGGAAAAAAAAUAUAAUUAAUUGUCUCAUUUGUGUACUUAGUGCCAAAGUUGGAUGAAGUAAAGCUUUAAGUAUGAUUAAACAAUGUUUUUCCGUACCUAAAGAGAUGUUGCAUGAUUACGUGGGAAAAGAACUCUAGGAUUUAAAAAUCCAAGACGAUGACCAACUAUUUGUUUAAGUUGACUAGUCCACAGAUUCUGUGGUAGGCUAUGUUCCCUAUCAAUAAAGAAAUAUGACUUCGUGUAAACCAAUUAUUGUAGCUUUGUGGAAUUUUAACUAUUUAAUUUGACGGUACAACAAAGCCACAUGGCGUGCGGAGGGAAGCCGAAUUCACGUGUUAUGCGGCUGAACAGUUGGGGCUGGGGUAAAAAAAAAAAAAAAAUUUGGCAGAAGAAAAAAAAUAAAGAAAAACAGCUAUAAACCCCUCUACUCUCUCUCUCCCUCAACCCAUCUCUAUCUCCCCCUAUCUAGGGGUGUAAUGUGUGCCGUGCUGAGCCGGCACGACCCAUAUUUUUCGGGCCAAAUCGGGCUAGAGUUCGGCACGGCCUGGCCCAAAUUUAAUUUCGGGCCGGGCCGUGCCGGGUGUAGUGUUUCUGAGCUUUGGAUAUGAUUGACUUCAGUAUUAGUGACUGGUCGACAUAUCUGGAGAGUGUCCGACUGAGUCGAAGUCAUUUUUGCACGAAAUGGAUGCAGAAAUAGACUCGACGCACUCAAAUAAGCAAAACUAGAGUUUUGCCAGAUUCGGGCGCCCAGAAUAGAUUUUGGGUUGCCCAGAACUUGAGUGCAGAAUUGGACAUACUGGAAACCAAUUCGGAUCCGUGUUUCGGGCGCCUGGAUGUAGGUCCGAAAGUUCACCUCGUGAGUACCGUUUGCGUUGACACGUGGCUAGUGGUAGGUGAGGUCCGCCGGAGCCGGUUAUGGGCGUAGUGCACAGCGGGCGGAGGAGCCGAGGGGGCGUUUUUUCUGCAGCCAGGAGGAUUCGAACGCCCAGAAACAGGUUUUGGGCGCUCGAAACUAAAGAUUUCUGCAGGGGUACCAGCUUUGCAGUAUUUAUUCCUGAGGCUUUUUGGACUGCAUCUACACCCUAUAAAUAGGUAGAGUGCUCCUCCUUGCUGUUCUUUUACUCCCUUCUUCACUGAGAAGUCCACUUUAGCAUUCCAACCCUUCUAAAUCACUCAAAUUGCAUCGAAGGUCCACAAAUUCAGCUUGAGGAGUGCUGAUGCUGCAGUUUUCCAACGACGACCUUCGGUGUUUUGGCUCGUGUGCGACAUAGGAAGGUCGGAUUGCGGUGAAACUUGGUUUGCUGGAUUCUAGACUUCCAGAGGAAUCCACGGAAUCUAAUAUUGCAAAUUUUGGUGAAGGUUAGCUUGGUCGAACUCAAGUUCUUCUCUGCUGCUGUUGUUUUGGGCAGAUUUUUCAAGCUUAUUAGUUUUCUUUGAUGCUAUCUUUUGGAGGCCGGGACUCGAGAAUAUUCCUAUAGUCCGCGAGUUUCUAGAUGUAUUUCCCCCUGAGUUGACUAAAAUGCCGUUGGAGAGGGAGAUAGAGUUUGUGAUUGAUGUAAUUCCUGGAACUGCACCAAUCUCGAAGGUGCCUUACCGGAUGGCACGGGCGGAGCUGAGAGAGCUAAAGGCGCAGCUUCAGGAUUUGAUGGAUAAGGGGUAUGUGAGACCCAGUGUGUCGUCUUGGGGAGCGCCGGUGCUGUUUGUGAAGACGAAGGAUGGUUCGCCUAGGUUGUGCGUGGAUUACCGGGAGCUGAAUAAAGUGACCAUCAAGAACAAGUAUACUCUACCACGCAUUGAUGAUUUGUUUGAUCAGCUGCAAGGAUCUUGCAUCUUCUCGAAGAUUGACCUCCAAUCAGGUUACCACCAGUUGAGGGUGAGGGCCGAGAAUGUUCCCAAGACGGCUUUUCAGACUCGGUACGGGCAUUAUGAGUUUACGGUGAUGCCUUUUGGAUUGACGAGUGCCCCUGCCGCAUUCAUGGAUUUGAUGAACAUAGUGUUUAAGCCGUUCUUGGAUAGAUUUGUGGUAGUCUUUAUUUAUGAUAUUCUGAUAUACUCCCGGAGCGAUGCCGAGUAUGAGGAGCACUUGAGGACUGUGCUACAGCUUCUGCGAGAGAAGAAGUUGUAUGCCAAGUUAAAGAAGUGCGAGUUCUGGUUGCGGGAGGUUGCUUUCUUGGGCCACGUGAUAUCUGCGGUUGGAGUGGCAGUGGACCCGAAGAAGAUUGAUGCUAUUCGGGAUUGGCCGAGACCGACGACGGUGACAGAGGUGAGGAGUUUUCUUGGACUUGCUGGUUAUUACCGUCAGUUUGUGGAAGGCUUUGUGAAGCUUUCCACACCACUCACUCUACUGACUCGUAAAGGAAUUAAGUUCAUCUGGAGUGAAGACUGUUAGAGGAGCUUCGAUGAGUUGAGACAGAGGUUGACAUCGGCUCCUAUUCUUGCCCUUCCAGUGAUGGAGGAAAGAUUUGUGAUUUACAGUGAUGCAUCACACAGUGGUUUGGGCUGUGUCUUGAUGUAGCAUGGUAGGGUAAUUGCUUAUGCUUCACGGCAGUUAAAGGAUUACGAGAAGAAUUAUCCUACGCAUGACUUGGAGUUGGCCGCGGUAGUCUUUGCUUUGAAGUUGUGGCGGCAUAACUUGUCUGGCGAGCACUGCGAGGUUUUCACCGAUCACAAAAGUCUCAAGUAUCUGAUCACCCAGAGGGAGUUGAAUCUGAGGCAACGCCGGUGGUUGGAGUUACGGAAGGAUUAUGAUAUUAGUAUUCAGUAUCAUCCCGGUAAGGCGAAUGUGGUGGCAGAUGCGUUGAGCAGGAAGGCAGUGCAGAGCUUGAGCAUGUUGAUCACUUAGCAGAGGCCGUUACUCGAGAAACUGCAGUGGCUGAGGCUCGAGAUAGUGUCCCUUGGAUCUACUGCGAGACUUUUGUCUAUGGUCUUGCAGCCCACUCUGUUGGAUAGGAUCCGAGAAAAACAGAGUGGAGAUCCACACUUGUUGAGGAUUCGAGAGCGGUUCGAAAGGGGACAGACUGAGGGCUUUGUUGUGGACAGUUCGGAAGUACUGCGGUACAGGGACCGACAGUGUGUACCUAUGGAUUCAGAGAUCUGAGAGGAUAUUUUGAGAGAGGCUCACUGUUCACUUUAUACGGUUCACCCCGGUGGAACCAAGAUGUAUAAGGACUUAAAAGCCCAGUUUUUGUGGAAUAGAAUGAAGAGGGACAUUGGCAGAUUUGUGGCUCAGUGUUUGACUUGUCAACAGGUAAUAGCCGAGCAUCAGGUACCUGCUAGCAAGCUUUAGAGUCUGUCAGUGCCCGAGUGGAAGUGGAAGCAAAUCACGAUGGACUUUGUUGUCGGAUUGCCUAGAGCUCAGGGUAGUUUCGAUGCUAUUUGGGUAAUAGUGGACAGAUUCACUAAGUUUGCUCACUUCCUACUAGUUCAAACCACCUUGUCCAGGGAGAGACUCGCUCAACUAUAUCUGGAUGAGAUAGUGAGAUUGCAUGGCGUGCCCACUACGAUAGUAUCAGAUCGAGACCCGAGAUUCGUCUCGCACUUUUGGAGGAGUCCUUAGACGUCCUUGGGCACUCAGUUGCAGUUCAACAAAGCGUUUCGCCCACAGACAGAUGGUUAGUCAAAGCGGACCAUUCAGACUCUUGAGGAUAUGCUGAGGGCAUGUGUCCUGGACUUUGGAGGAGGGUGGUAUCGACAUUUGAGACUGGCUGAGUUUGCGUACAACAACAGCUAUCAAGCGAGUAUCCAGAUGGCUCCGUUUGAGGCGUUGUAUAGACGCAGGUGUCGAUCCCCUUUAUUUUGGAGUGAUGUGGGUGAGAGGAAAACACUUGGGCCUGAGAUUCUGGUUGAGGCUGAGGAAAAGGUGAAAGUGGUGCGACGGCACAUUUUAGCAGUUCAGAGUCGGCAGAGGAGCUAUGCUAAUACCCGGAGACGAGACUUGAAGUUCCAAGUGGGAGAUCAUGUGUUUCUUAAAGUCUCGCCUUCUAAAAGGAUUCGCAGAUUUGGAGUACGUGGAAAGCUCAGUCCAUAUUUUGUAGGCCCUUUUGAGGUAUUGGAGCGAGUCGGGCCAGUUUCUUACAGGAUUGCUCUACCUCCUAGACUAGCCGGUAUUCACGAUGUUUUCCACGUCUCGGCUUUGAGGAGAUAUGUGUUCGACUCCUCCGACGUGAUUGACUUCACUCCGCUUGAGAUUGGCGAGGACCUGAGUUACGAGGAGCGACCGGUGAGGAUUCUGGCUCGUGAGUCGAGAGAAUUGCGCAACCGGAUCAUACCUUUUGUAAAGGUGCAGUGAAGUAAUCACAAGAAGCGGGAGGCGACUUGGGAGCCGGAGACGGUGAUGAGAGAAUCCUACCCCUACCUUUUUGAGGCUCAGGAUUGAGAUAUGAUUCAGUUUCGCGGAUGAAACUUUUUAUAGUGGGGAAGGAUGUAGUGUUUCUGAGCUUUGGAUAGGAUUGGCUUCAGUGUUAGUGACUGGUCGACAUAUCUGCAGAGUGUCCGACUGAGUCGGAGUCGUUUCUGCGCGAAAUGGAUGCAGAAAUGGACUCGGCACACUCAAAUAAGCAAAACUAGAGUUUUGCUAGAUUCAGGCGCCCAGAAUAGGUUUUGGGUCGCCCAGAACUUGAGUGCAGAAUUGGACAGAACUGGAAGCCAAUUCGGAUCCGUGUUUCGGGCGCCCGGAUGUGGGUCCGAAAGUUCAUCUCGUGAGUAUCGUUUGCGUUGGCACGUGGCUAGUGGUAGGUGAGGUCUGCCGAAGCCGGUUAUGGGCGCAGUGCACCGCGGGUGGAGGAACCGAGGGGGGCUUUUUGUCCAGCCAGGAGGAUUCGGACGCCCAGAAACAGGUUUUGGGCGCUCGAAACUGGAGAUUUCUACAAGGGUACUAGCUUUGCAGCAUUUGUUCUUGAGGAUUUUUGGACGGCAUCUACACCCUAUAAAUAGGUAGAGUGCGCCCCCUUGCUGCUCUUUUCCUCCCUUCUUCACAGAGAAGUCCACUUUAGCAUUCCAACCCUUCCAAAUCACUCAAAUUACAUCGAAGGUCCACAAAUUCAGCUUGAGGAGUGCUGACGCUGCAGUUUUUCAGCGACGACCUUCGGUAUUUUGGCUCGUGUGUGACAUAGGAAGGUCGGAUUGUGGUGAAACUUGGUUUGUUGGAUUCUAGACUUCAAAGGAAUCCACAGAAUCUAAUAUUACAGAUUUUGGUGAAAGUUAGCUUGAUCGAACUCAAGUUCUUCUCUACUCCUGUUGUUUUGGGCAGAUUUUUCAAGUUUAUGAGUUUUCUUUGAUGCUAUCUUUGGAGGCAGGGGAAUUUUGGACCCGAGAUUAAUACUCCAUCAUUAUUUACUGGAUUUGAAACUUGCCUUACCUGAAUUGGCGAUUAUUAGGUUAGUUUUGACAUUGGAGUUUAGACAAAUUAAGCUUAAAUGCUGAAAUUUGGUAAAUUGAUGGAUUUUGAUGGAUUUUGAGUGUAGAUCCUUCGAGUAGCUUUGUUGCUGGUUGUGGGUGAUCUCGACUGAGACUUCCAGCAAUUUGUGACCUUCUUGCUGCCAUUGAAUUGCUCUAGAGGUGGGUGUUUCAUCGGUUUCGCCCCUAAGUGCAUGUACUCGACAUGUAUGAUUUCAGUUCUUGUAUAUCAUAUUGUAGCACAAAUUCAUUGAUUGUAGCAUGUAUGAAAUCUGAAUUGGGAGCAUGACUAGUAAUUAGAUGAAUAUACAUGUUGGACUUGGAACUUGACUUAGGAGAAAACCAGCGAUUCGACCUGUCAUAUGAUUCGACUACCUGAUUUAGCUCUAGUAGCCGUGCUUUGAUUGUAUCACUGCUGUUUUAGCGCUGUGGAUACCCGGGAUAGUUUAGAAUGCAUUUACGCUCCUGCUGGGAUGCCGAGCUUAUUUUUACAGUAGAGUCUAGGCUGUUUCAGGUUGUCGGGUGCCGUCGGGGUGGACGGUGGACCCAGAUUUCUAUUUUUGGUCUCAGAUUGUGCCGACGGUACAUGGUUUGGUUUCUAGACCUGUUUUUACCCUAGCUACUUGACUUUGGCUUGUUAGAGCCUGAUUGAGCUCGACAGAGAUACGCUGCAUACUCGGUUGGGUAGAUCCCACAAGUGCCACUCCGGAGACGGGAGCUGUGCUUUUGCAUUGGUGUCGUUCGUGCAAGUUGGACUUGCUUUCCACGGACUGGUUAGUGUGGAGGUAGCUGUAUAGUCGCAACCGGACGGGACGGGUGUGUUCACAGUCCUAGGGACAGGUAUGAUUACAGUCCUUAUUUGAGAUUGGGUCUGAGUUGACACUCUUCUACAAAUGGUUAGAUUUAUUCUAGCUUUCUUUACUAUUCUUGCUUAUCCCUAUAGACUUAGUGGGUGGACCGAUGAGUUUGAGGGCGGUACCCACUGAGGACUACUUGGUUUUACAGUAGUUCUCACGCCUAGUUGUUACCACUAUUUUUGCAGAGCCGUCACCUUCGAUUGCUGCUGUUGCUGAUCUUGAUCGUGGCAAGGGCGUCACGAGUUAAAGCCCUUCCAGUCGAGUCGCAGAGCUAGAGGAGCACCAGCUACAUGUAGUUGUAGUUUUUGGGUCUUUACAUACAGUUGUUGUUUCUCGCCAGAGCGAGUAUUUGUAUGCCUCGGAUGACAUGUAUGUAUUGAACCACCAUUUAUAUAUAUGGUUUAUUUUUCUAGCAGUUCUAUACUACUGUUUGUAGUAUUGUAUGAUUACAGCUAUUUCUACUUUUUCGCUUCGUAUGCAAGGAAAAUAUCUAUGUAUACGGCUGGUCUGUUAGCAAGCCUGGGGAAACGAGUAAUCCGGGGCGUGACAGAGGGCCCAAUUUUUCUAUUCCCUGGCCCGGCACGGCCCUUUGGCCCGGAAGGCACGUGCCGUGCCGUGCCGUGCCGGGCCGUGCUUCGGGCCGGCCAACAAAGUAUUUAUUUUUUAAAAUUUUUUUAAAAAUUUAGUAUGAAAUUUAAAAAUAUAAACAAUAAAUAUUUUUAUUUAAAUUAAUAUUUUGAUUAAAAUAUUAAAAAAAUUAUAAAAAUAAUUAUACUAAAGUAAAUAUUUAAUUUUUUUUAAAAAUAAAUAAAUUUGUAUUAUUUUUUUUUUAAAAAGAAAAAUGUUAUAGACUUUUGGUCCAAUGGACCAAAGACUAAGUUCUCCUCCUAAGGUUUGCUGAGGCAGACCUUGGGAGGACAGCUUCUUCCCAGGAGCUCAGACCCCAUGGCCCAANAAGGCAAUUGCCUUGGGCCAUGGGGUGCGGACCAGGCUGGCACGGCCCAAACGGCCCACACGGGUGCUACAGUACCCGUGCCGUGCUGUGGCCCGGGCCCAGGCCGUGCCGUGCCGGACGGCCCAUGUGCCGCCGGGCCCGUUUUACAUCCCUACCCCUAUCUCUCUCUCCCUUUCUCUCUCUACCUAUCCCCACUUUCUCCUCUCUCUCUCCCCUACAACUGGCAUUUCUCUUAACCCACCUCCUCUCUUUCUCUCUUUGACGAUUCCUCUAUCUCUCUCACUAGCUCUCUCUCAACCCUUUUCCCCUCUCUCUCACUAACUCCCUCUCUCUCCAAAUGGCUCCCCCCACUCUCUCUUUAUUAUGCCCUUUCUCUCUCCCCUCUCUCUCCCAUCAAAACCCCUCUCCCAUCAAAAUCCCUCAUUUGCAAGGGAAUCGGGUUUCGGCUGCGGCGACGACAGCGGCAAUCACGGCGGCGGCGAUGGUUAGGCGGUCACGGCGACGACGACGUCUUGGGCGGCGACGGAGAGCGUCGUUGUCGACGUCGGUGUCGUCGUCGUAGAGAGGAGGCGGAGGAUGAGGAGGUGGUGGCGGACAGAGGAGGAGGAGGAAGAGGAGGAGGAGGAAGAGGAGAAGGAGAGGAAUGUAUCAUUGUUGCGAGGAGGUGGCAAUGAGGAGGGAGGAGAGAGACGAUGAGGGGGUUUUGGGUUUUUUAGAAUGUAGAAAUGUAGCUUGUUUUUUUAUUAUUAUUAUUAACUGGGCCCAAAUGAAGCCUAUCGAAGAAUUUUCUACUGGGUCGGACCUUCACAAUAAUGGGUUUGGCAUCGAAAAGGUUCAAGCCACGUCUCUUAGGGUUCAUUUGUUACUGAGUCUGAUCUGACGAGAAUAGGGUUUUUAAAUGUAUUAUGGGACUAUUUGGUUUUUUAAUGAAUUUUUAAAAAUAAAUUUUCGACAUUGACAUUAAAUAUUUUUUCUUAAAUUUUUUUUCCUGUAAAUUUACAUAAUUUUUAAAAAUUUUAAUUUUAAAAAAAUAAUUAGCAAAAUUAUAUUUGAUUUAUGUGCCUUCUUUUAAAAUUUAACAUUUUAUAUAUAUAUAUAUAUAUAUAUAUAUAUAUAUAUAUAUAUAUAUAUAUAUAUAUAUAUNNNNNNNNNNNNNNNNNNNNNNNNNNNNNNNNNNNNNNNNNNNNNNNNNNNNNNNNNNNNNNNNNNNNNNNNNNNNNNNNNNNNNNNNNNNNNNNNNNNNCAAAGUGGAAGCACGGAGUGCUCCGUGCUUCCAUAAGCAUACCAGACGCACUAUAUAUAUAUAUAGAGAGAGAGAGAGUUGAGUUAGAAUACUAUCGAUAGUAAACAGGCUCCGUUGACACCCAUUUGUUUUCGAUGAUAGAGCCUCCAAAUUGACGAUCGGCACCGUUGAACAUAAUCUAUACCACUUGAAAUAUUUAGAAAUCAAAUUUCAAAUCUUUUCAACAUCAUUUGCCUAAUGAUCAAAGGGUUUCAAAAUUUGUAAUUUUAAUGGUCGAUAUGAGGCGUUUUUUCGUUUAACGGCGUAAAAAUAAACAAAUCAAUUGAAUUUUUGUUAGAAAUUUUUUAAAACUAUUUAAAACAAGAUCUAUACUCUUGAUCUUGAUUACAAGACUCCUAUCAUGAUUUUUUAAAGAAUAUUCAUUUUCAGCCGCUCAUUUUUGUGUCUACUUGAUGGAUAAGAGAAAAAUAUCGAAAAUGUAUGAAAUUUGAUUUCUAAAUACUUCAAGUGGUAUAGAUCAUGUUCAACGGUGCCGAUCGUCGAUUUGGAAAGCUCCAUCGGAAAACAAAAGGUGCAACAGGAUCCCGUUGCUAUCGAUAUAUUCUAGCUCAACUCUAUAUUUAGUCGUCUAUUAUACUCUUAUGUGUAUAGACUCUUUGAUUUUCUUAUAAUUUCGGGGACCGGUAGAUUUACCCCUUUGAUCAUUUCCAUCGUCAACAACUCAAACCCUCACUCACCCUAGAAUCCCCUACAUCCUAUACCGACAUUCUUUUCAUACACACACAGAAAAUUUAAUAAGUACAAAGAUUCUAUUAACUAUAGUAGCUAUAAUAUAUCUAUCUAUAUAUAUAUAAAAAGAGAUAGAGAAGAGAAGAGCGAGAGAGAGAGAGAGAGAAUAGAAGAAGAGUCGCUGCUAUACUAUCGGUAGCACUGGCUAAAAAUGAACGUACGUGAAAAUAAAAAUCAAAUAAAAAUGAUGAUAAAAGCCUUAUUAAGAAUAAGACUGUCUUAACCUACUAAUAGUAAAAAUAAUCCUAUACAAAAUUACAUCUGAUUUGGUUUUUACCCGUUAAUUAACAAUACAUAAUCUAACCAUUAAAAAUUGUCAAUUUUUGAGACUUUGAUACAACCAAAUAUUCGAAAAAAUUAUUUCUGAAAUUAGUCUUCCGAAUACUCAAUAUUGAGAUCAAGUCUAACGAGCCGAUCGUGCAUUUUGGAGGCCUGAUCAUACGAAAAACAACUUACACGAAGCCUCCGUGCUAAUCGAUAGUAUAGCACUGAUCUCUCUCAUCGUCAUCUCUCUCUCUCUCUCUCUUCGCUCUCCUCUCUCUCUAUCUCUCUCUAUAAUAUAAAUUAAAUUAUAUAUAUAUAUAAUAAGUCUAGCUAUUGCGCUGCUAAAAGCACAAUACAUAUGCUUGUAAAUUCUUUGCCGUUAGAUUUACCAUUGAUCAUUUUCAAUCCGUAGAUUUAUACUAUUCAACCAACCACCCACUCAACCCUAAAGACUCAUAUCAUACUAACACGCACACAUUUCUCAUCCUAAGGCUUAAAAAACUAAUACACUAAUAGUUCGGUGCUAUUAAUAUAUUCCACCUAGUUUCUAUAAUAGCACCAAUGUUGUGCAUUAAUAUAUUCAACCAUAGUCUAUAUAUAUAAUAAUAUUAUAUAUAUAUAUAUAUAAAAAAAUAUUAAUAUUAUAUGAUGUUAUAUUUAAAUUUGUGUUUUAAAAUUUUAAAUUUAGUGUAAUAUGUUUUUAAGUAUGAUAAAGAGAAAUAAUUGCUUUGAGAUCAAGUUUUUGGGUUUGGAUUCAGAUUUCACAUUUUCAUUCAGAUUCAGUUUUGGAUAUGAAUAUUUAAAAUUUCUCGGAUCCGAAUUUGAAUUCAAAUUUUAGGUUCUAUAGUCGAAUUUGAAAAAUCCAUCUGAAUCCGAUCAGUUAGGAUCCCCGGCCCGUAGGAAUUAAAAAAACCCGGAGCAGAUGGCCACGAAGCCACCAACCUUUUAUAAAUUUAAGUUUAAAAUUAGAGAGAGCAUAGGACAAAAGAGUAAGUUAUAUGGGUACAACCAAAUCAAUUGUUUGGUUUAAUUAUUAAUUAAUUAGUUUCAUGUAAUAUAUAUAAUAAGAACUAUGUAUAAUAAUUUCCUAGAUUUGCUCUUAUACCUACUUAAUAAUUUAUGAAAAUAAAAUAAAAUUUUAAAUCGAACUUGUAAAAUUUAUAAUUUUAAAUUUUAAAAGUGAAAGUUAAAUUCAUUAUGUGUUGUUGGUUCAAAUCUCAAUUUGUAUUUGAAUUCAAAAUUUUGAUUCGAAUCUAAUAAAAAAUUCUAAAUACAAAUUAAAAUUUUAUGAUCAAAAUAUAAAUUCAAAUUUGAGUUCUUCACUCGAGGGAUAUUGCUGGAUCAGACUUUCACCAAUUGUCUAAAAUUUUCGAAUGCCGUCCCUUGUGGGAAUCAUUCAAAGGACUUUUAGUAAUUUAAUUAAACCUAAAAAGAUUUCAAUGAUAAAUUAAACUCAAAUUUAAAUUUUGAGCCCAAUUGUUGAAUUAAAGGUGUAUGUCUAAUCUUGAAUUCAAAUUUGCAACCACUUUUGAAUUCAUAGGAAUUCCAAUAAUUUAAUUAAAACCAAAAAACUCAAAUUAAACUCAAAUUUAAGCUUCUGAGCUCGAGUGUUAAAUUCAAACAGUACACUUAACCCUUGCAUUCGAACUUUGAGUUUAAUUUUGAAGGACUCCUUAGUAAUUUAAUUAAAACAAAAAAAUUUAAAAUAAAAAAUUAAACUCAAAAUUUAAAGUUUGAGCUCAAAUUAAUAUUGAAUUCACGUUGUAUGCUUAACUCUUGAAUUCUAAUUGCAAUUUAAAUUAUUCCAAAUCUAAAUUCUGCAUCUAAAUUAUGAAUUUAAAAGUAAACUUAGAGUUUUGAUUCAAAAAACUUCUACUUCUUUAAUUUGAAUUUAAGCUUAACCUAAAUUUAUAGGGUAAAUGACACUUUUGGUUCUCAAACUUUGAGGCAUGUAUCACUUAUACUUCUCAUACUUUAUUUUGUUGCACUUACUUACUCGAACAUUUUAAAUUAUAUUCCACAAUCCAAAUUAAGUGGCCAAAUAUUGACGAAUUGUUAGUGUAAAAGUAACGUAGCAGUGUUGUGAUAGAUGAUACGACAAUAAUGUCUCCACGGGCCGAUCUUGUGGAAUAGCAUUGACUCGCAUUGAUUGCGGGCUGUACGAGAGCUGGCAAUCCAGCUUGCUAUUCAUGAGCCAACUUAUGUUCGACUCGAAAAUGAGCUCGAGAUCGAUCGCUUGUUUAAUAAAUGAAUUAAACAUAAACUACGGUAUGCUUGUUCAUGUUUGGCUCGAUAUAGCUCGAGCAUAUAGAUGCGGGCCGCUGUACGGUGUCUUGCGGCUGGUCGAGUAGCACGCGGUCCUGCCGUGGGCCGUCUCGCAGCAGCCUGUAAAUGUUUUGGGCCAAUCAGUAUAAACAUGGGCCUAUGUUUCUAAGCCUGUGUGUUUUGGGCCAACAUUAGAAACAUGGGCCUAUGUUUCUAAGGCGGUAUAUUUACAAUGAAUCUUAGGCAUUGUUUAGUAUUGCGGCCUUUAUAUUAUUUUCUAAAUAGUAAUUUUAUAUGAAACAGUGUAGAAGAAAAUAAUGGAUUACUCAUAAUCUUCCAUUCAAAAUUUUUGUUUGGUAAUAAAGAAAAGAAGAAAAUUGUUUAGUAUUGCCACCCUUUUGUUUUCAAUAAUAGAGCCUCCAAAUCGACGAUCGGCACUAUUGAACAUAAUCUACACCACUUGAAAAAACUAGAAAUCCAAUUUCAAAUCCUUUCGACAUCAUUGACCUAAUGUUCAACGAAUUUCAAAAUUUGUAAAUUUAAUGGUCGAUAUAAGAUAUUUUCUCGUUUAACGACAUAAAGAUAUCCAAAUCAAUUGAAUUUUGAUUAGAAAAUUAUUUAAACUAUUUAGAACAAGAUCUACAAUCUUGAUUACGGGACUUCUAUUAUCACUUUUUAAAGGAUAUACAUUUUUAGCCGUUCAUUUUUGUGUCCACUUGAUGGACAAGAAGACAAUAUCGAAAAAAAUAUAAAAUUUGGUUUCUAAAUGCUUCAUGUUGUAUAGAUCACGUUCAACGAUGCUGAUCGUCAAUUUGGUGGCUUCAUCAUCGAAAACAAAUGGGCGGCAACGGAACCCAUUUGCUACCGAUAGUAUUCCAGCUCAACUCUCUUUCUCUAUAUAUAUAUAUGUAUAAAGAGAGAGAGAGAGAGAGAGAGAUUUCGGCUACUAUACUAUCGAUAGUAUCAAGCUCUUGGUACUAUCAAGUUUUCUGCCGUUAAAUUUACUAUUUAAUCAUUUUCAUUCGCUAGAUUAUACAAUUCAACUAACCACUUACUGAACCCUAGGGGACCACUAUGAUCCUAGCCGCAUAUCCUUUCAUCCAACGACCAAAAACUCGAUAGCAUCAAGCGCUUGCGCUUGGUACUAUCGAUAGUAUAGUAGCAUAUAUAUAUAUAUAUAUAUAUAUAUAUAUAUAUAUAGAGAGAGAGAGAGAGAGAGAGAGAGAGAGAGAGAGAGAGAGAGAGAGAGAGAGAGAGCAGGACUGCUGUACUCUCAGGCGCUCCUGAGUCGUUUUCGAUGAUGAAAUUUCCGAAUCGACGAUCGGUUCCGUUAAACUUGAUCUAGCGUAUUUGAAGUUUCUAGAAAAUAAUUUUUGCGAUUUUUUGAUAUCAUUUACCUAGUGAUCGAAAGGUUUCAAAAUCCAUAAUUUUUAAUGGUUGAUAUCUGCCGUUUUCAAGUUUAACGGUGUAGAAGUAUUCAAAUCAGAUGAAAUUUUGAUACAAAAUUCUUUAUACUAUCUACAACAAGAUCAAUAUUUCUGAUCGAAAAUUUUAGUGCUAUAUCACCACUUUUUAUAGAAUUUUUAUUUUCAGCCGUUAAAAAUUAUUGAUUUUGAAUCCUUUUGAUUGCUAGGUAAAUGAUAUCGAAAAAUCGUAAAAAUUAUUUUCUAGAAACUUCAAAUACGCUAGAUCAAGUCUAACGGAGCCGAUCGUCGAUUCGAAAAUUCCAUCAUCGAAAACGGCUCAGGAGCACGAAGGCCUCCGUGCUCCUAAUUAAGAGCACAGCAGCCCUAUAUAUAUAUAUAUAUAUGUAUAUAUAUAUAUAUAUAUGUAUAUGUAUAUAUAUAUAUAUAUAUAUAGUCUGCUAUUAGGAGCACGGAGGUCUCUGUGCUCCUAAGUCGUUUUCGAUGAUAGGGUUUCCGAAUCGACGAUCAGCACUAUUUGACUUGAUCAAGCAUAUUUGAAGUAUUUAGAAAAUAAAUUUUACAACUUUUCGAUAUCAUUUACCUAGCGAUCAAAAGGGUUCAAAAUAAAUAAUUUUUAAUAGUUGAUGUAUAUCGUUUGUAAGUUUAACGGUAAAGUAGUACUCAAAUCAUGUGAAAUUUUGAUAAAAUUUUUUUUAUACUAUUUAUUGCAAUAUCAAUAUUUCUGAUAAAAAAUUUUAGUGUUAUAUUAUCAUUUUUUGUGAGAUUUUUAUUUUCAGCCGUUGAUUUUGAACUCUUUCGAACUCCGAACAGGUUUUUAUUUGAUAUUUACAAUUCUUAUGAAGGUGAGAUGUCACUUUUGCAAGAAAAAGGGCCUUGUGAAAGAAAAAAGAGAAGAGGAAAGGCUUGGCUGCGGAAACAAGAUUCUUCCGCAAAUACAGUGAGCAUAGCCAACGACACUAGCUAGCUAGGAUGUUUUUAUGGUUUCUAUAUGUUCAGAAUGCCUUAGUGACUGGAUAUUGGAUUCGGAUUUUUUCUUAUCACAUGACUCUGGAUAGAUCUUUAUUUGAUAUUUACAAUUCUUAUAAAGGUGAUAGUGUUAUGAUGGGUAAUACCAGUAGUUGUAAGAUAAUCGGUAUCGGAACAGUAAAAAAAAAAAAAAAUGUUUGAUAGUGUGGUGCGGAUGUUAACAGAUAUGAGACAUAUUUUGGGUCUCAGGUUGAAUCUUAUAUCACCUCAUACUCUUAACAUAUUGAUUGUUCUGGUAUCAUUUUAGAUAGAGUCGUCAAGGUGAAAAGAGUGCUAUGAUGGUCAUGUUGGAAGAGAAUAAAGAGAAUCUGUACAAGUUUAUCAUUGAGCUAGUAACAGCGAAUAAGUCUAGGCAUUCUCUAGAAUUUGCUAACCUGCAUGAUUGUUAAUGUCGGGAUGUCUUAGGGAGUGGGCGAUAAGAUGAGAGAGAGUGAUGAAGUAAAAAAAAAGAACAGAGUGUAGAAUAUUAAAGAUAUGGCUUCUUUUUUUAUUGAUUUAAUUCAUGCAUCGGGUCUACGGAAUAAUUAGAUAAUUAAAAUAUCAAGUUGAUUCCAUAGAAGACUCUAUAUUCAAUGUUGACAUUGAAGUAGAGUAGGAUUGGACUAAUGAAUCUAUACGUAUAUAUGCAUGUAAUGUGAACCGUGUGGUUGGGAGUAGAGAGGUUUAAUUAAUUAGCGUAAGGUGAGGCUAAUUAAUUAAAAGGUGACCGGCUUUCUUCAUGUUCGAAACCUCUUUGGAUCGGACAUUUUGUAAAGAUAUACAAAUAGAUAAUUAAUAAUUCUCAAUAAUCUAAAAUAAGUUAAAAAUUAAAUUAAUUAAAAAAAGACACGAAAAUAUGAUAUAUAAUUGUUACACCAAAUGAUGAUAGUGAUACCCAUGUGAAUCCCUAAUUAACUUUUAUUUAUAAUGCAUGCAUAGAGAAUACUUAAUAAAAUAAUUGCCCCAUUGCAUGCAUCUUAAAGAACCCAAACCGCUAUAUUCUUUUACUUCCAUUAAAAAAUUCAUGAUCAACUGUAGUCCUUAAGAUCUAAGAAUCGCAUGUCUCUAUUUUAGGUUUCGACGAUUGAUUUUCUGCACAAUUUUAACUAGAUAAUUUCUCUCUUUGAAGCUGCGUUAAGGUAAGCAACCGGACACCUAUUAGUUUUUGUAAAAUAAUUUAUGAAAUACUUUGAUUGUGUGAAGAUCUUUAUUUUGUAUGAGCAUUGAAAUUUUCAUUUAUUAUUUAAAUUUCCGUUCAUGUUAUCUUCUUGGAAUAAUUUAAAUUCGUCAAAAAUUCCUUCAUCCCUUUGAUCGCUAUUAAAGGUUCGUCGAAUUUAUUAUUCUAAAUUCCUUUGUGCUCCGUCCCGACCCAUUUGCAU
rnacentral:lncRNA from 1 species